UCGGGAAUAUUGGACAAUGGGCGAAAGCCUGAUCCAGCCAUGCCGCGUGUGUGAAGAAGGUCUUCGGAUUGUAAAGCACUUUAAGUUGGGAGGAAGGGCAGUAACCUAAUACGUUUCUGUCUUGACGUUACCGACAGAAUAAGCACCGGCUAACUCUGUGCCAGCAGCCGCGGUAAUACAGAGGGUGCAAGCGUUAAUCGGAAUUACUGGGCGUAAAGCGCGCGUAGGUGGUUUGUUAAGUUGGAUGUGAAAUCCCCGGGCUCAACCGAGGAAGUGCAUUCGAAACUACCAAGCUAGAAGACGGCAGAGGAUGGUGGAAUUCCUAGUGUAGAGGUGAAAUUCGUAGAUAUUAGGAGGAAUACCGGCGGCGAAGGCGGCCAUCUGGGCCGUUCUUGACACUGAGACGCGAAAGCGUGGGUAGCAAACAGGAUUAGAUACCCCCGUAGUCCCUGAGCGGGCUGGCAAGGCGCAU
rnacentral:rRNA from 1 species